UAAGGAAUAUUGGUCAAUGGGCGCAAGCCUGAACCAGCCAUGCCGCGUGAAGGACGAAGGCCCUAUGGGUUGUAAACUUCUUUUGUACGGGAAAAAACCACAGGUCGCGAAUCUGUGCUGAUGGUACCGUAAGAAUAAGCAUCGGCUAACUCCGUGCCAGCAGCCGCGGUAAUACGGAGGAUGCAAGCGUUAUCCGGAUUCAUUGGGUUUAAAGGGUGCGCAGGCGGAAUAAUAAGUCAGCGGUGAAAUCCUACAGCUUAACUGUAGAACUGCCAUUGAUACUGUUAUUCUUGAGUGUUGUUGAGGUAGGCGGAAUGUGUCAUGUAGCGGUGAAAUGCUUAGAUAUGACACAGAACACCGAUCGCGAAGGCAGCUUACCAAGCAACAACUGACGCUCAUGCACGAAAGCGUGGGGAUCAAACAGG
rnacentral:rRNA from 1 species